CAGCCGCCGCGGGAAUACGGAGGGUGCAAGCGUUAAUCGGAAUUACUGGGCGUAAAGCGCACGCAGGCGGUCUGUCAAGUCAGAUGUGAAAUCCCCGGGCUUAACCUGGGAACUGCAUUUGAAACUGGCAGGCUAGAGUCUUGUAGAGGGGGGUAGAAUUCCAGGUGUAGCGGUGAAAUGCGUAGAGAUCUGGAGGAAUACCGGUGGCGAAGGCGGCCCCCUGGACAAAGACUGACGCUCAGGUGCGAAAGCGUGGGGAGCAAACAGGAUUAGAUACCCGUGUAGUCCCUGUCUCUUAUCC
rnacentral:rRNA from 1 species